rnacentral:tRNA from 1 species
GUCGAAUUGGCCUAGUGGUUAGGGCAUCUCCUUUACACGGAGAGGAUCGCAGGUUCGAUCCCUGCAUUCGACA